GUGAGGCACUUGCCUAAUGCGUAGUCGUCAGGGAGACAAAGGUGUGACCCUUGGUAACGGGCGAUUAGUUCUAAUCGCCCGCUCUAGCGGGCGAUUAGAACUAAUCGCCCGCUACAGCGGGCGAUACGUGAUUAAACGUCCCUGUUGAAACAAAAGAAACCCGGGCAACUAUGCUAUUACAUUAUUUAACAUCGCACGAGUUAGUUAUCGUAACGAAUUGUUUUUAACGAGACAAACCAAUCUUCAUGUUGAAUAAAAAACAACCUAUAUAAACAGAUAUUCAAAUAAGUCGAUCAGCUGUAAAUUUACUUCAUAAAAACAAACACCAAUAAUGCAUACACGCAAACUGUAUAUUUGUAUAUUUAAUUAUUUUCUUCUACUUUAAUUUUCAUCGAUCACUUUCAUCUGUAAAUUAUGUCGCGAAAAUUUUAAAGUAGCAUUCGUUCAAAUUUACAACCGCAAUGUAGGAUGUAUCUUAUAAAUCAGUAUUUAAAUUUUGUAAGCAGCUGGGAAAAAUGGCAAUUUUAAAUCACUCGAUACCAAUGACAAGUCUUUGAGUAAUAUAGUUUUUUUGUUUGGAGGGGGUGGGGUGGGUGGAGUGGGCUGCGAUAACACUGAUGGACACGUACUGGGGGGGGGGAGGAUGCAACUGCCCCUCCCCCAAUGAUUUCAAAAACCUUAAAGAAUAAUAUACCUGAAUAACUGUAUAACAAAGUUGCAACAAUAAUUCUUCAACCAUUGGUGGUUUAAGCUACAUAUUGUACGAAAUGUAAGGCAAAAAACGUUUAAAGAACUGACAUUUCCAGGAUUGGUGACCUAGCUACAAAGUUGGCCUCCCCUUGUCCGC